rnacentral:rRNA from 1 species
UAUCUCUGUAGAGUCUGCAUAUCAAUAAGCGGAGGAAAAGAAACUAACAAGGAUUCCCUUAGUAACGGCGAGUGAGGCGGGAAGAGCUCAAAUUUGAAAUCUUCAAGGUUUUACCUUGACGAAUUGUAGUUUAAAGAAGUGUUUUCUGUUGAAGUUUCGGUAAAAGUUCUUUGGAAUAGGACAUCAUAGAGGGUGAGAAUCCCGUAUUUGACCGUUAUUUUCAGCUGUGUGAUACACUUUCAAAGAGUCGGAUUGUUUGGGAAUGCAGUCCAAAAUGGGUGGUAAAUUUCAUCUAAAGCUAAAUAUUGGCGAGAGACCGAUAGCGAACAAGUACCGUGAGGGAAAGAUGAAAAGAACUUUGAAAAGAGAGUUAAACAGUACGUGAAAUUGUCAAAAGGGAAGCGUUUGACACCAGUGUUGUUUUUCUCGAAAAUCAAUUAAGAAUGGCUUGAUUUUGUGUUGUAUUGACCUUAUAAGCUUUCUUCACUUUUUUCGAGUCUUUCUUAAUGCACUUUUCGGUUAACAAGUCAACAUCAAUUUCUUUUGUUGUAAAAGAGUAUUCGGAAGGUGGCUUUCUUUUCGGAGAAAGUGUUUAUAGCCCUAUACUUCUACAAUCGGAGAGAUUGAGGUCUGCAGCGUAGAUCCUUCGGGGUUAGAUACACUUGUGCUAAGUUGUAGCUUUUCAUAGACAACUUGUUGACUAUGUUUAGUCAUGCGGCUUACUCGCUUGUGCUAUUUUACCUACGCUUAGGAUGUUGACUGAUAUGUAGUCGUA